rnacentral:lncRNA from 1 species
GAAAUGCCAAUUAAACAAGAGAACAGGGAAGUUAAGAGAACUUCCCGACACCACCUUUGGAGAGGAGCCGGAAGCAGAGACCGUUCACCAGAACGCUGCCUGAGGUGGAGGCUACCAGGGAUGCAUGAAGUCAGAGUGAAGAGAGGCAAACAAGAGGAGCCCCUGAAGGAAAUUGAAAGGGAAAAUUCCAUGGAAGGCAAAGGAGGAACUCAGAAGAGGAAGGAAGCCAGCAAAGGUCUUGAAAACCACGUCAGGGAGUUCAGGUAAGAUGAUAAUGGUUGGUCCUUUGUAUUUGGCCGCU